UGAGGAAUAUUGGUCAAUGGACGCAAGUCUGAACCAGCCAAGUAGCGUGCAGGAUGACGGCCCUAUGGGUUGUAAACUUCUUUUAUAUGGGGAUAAAGUGGGGAACGUGUUCCCUUUUGCAGGUACCAUAUGAAUAAGGACCGGCUAAUUCCGUGCCAGCAGCCGCGGUAAUACGGAAGGUUCGGGCGUUAUCCGGAUUUAUUGGGUUUAAAGGGAGCGUAGGCCGUUUGGUAAGCGUGUUGUGAAAUGUAGGAGCUCAACUUCUAGAUUGCAGCGCGAACUGUCAGACUUGAGUGCGCACAACGUAGGCGGAAUUCAUGGUGUAGCGGUGAAAUGCUUAGAUAUCAUGAAGAACUCCGAUUGCGAAGGCAGCUUACGGGAGCGCAACUGACGCUGAAGCUCGAAGGUGCGGGUAUCGAACAGG
rnacentral:rRNA from 1 species